rnacentral:rRNA from 1 species
AUUGAACGCUGGCGGCAGGCCUAACACAUGCAAGUCGAGCGAGCGGCGGAAGGGUGAGUAAUGUCUGGGCAACUGCCUGAUGGAGGGGGAUCACAACUGGAAACGGUAGCUAAUACCGCAUACAACCAGAUGUGACCAGAUGGGAUUAGCUAGUAGGUGGAUUAACGGAUCACAUAGACGACGAUCACUAGCUGGUCUGAGAGGAUGACAGCCCACAUGUGAACUUGGACACGGUCCAGACCCUUACGAGAUGCAGCAGGUGGAAACAUUGCACGGUGGGUGGAAGCCUGAUGCAUACAUGCCGCGAUUAUGCAGAAGGCCUCCGGUUUGUAAAGUACUUUCAGCGGGGAGGCGUCACCCGCAGAGGAAGCCCCGGCUAUCUCCGUGCCAGCAGCCGCGGUGAUA